AUUCAACUUACCUAACUUCCACACUUUUUUUUCAGGCUUUUCAAACCACAUUUAGAGAUUGUAUUUAUGGAUAAAACAUCUUCCUGAAGAGUGAAAUUGGAAGAUCGAAGAGUUCAAAAAUCGUUCAUCUCCAUCGAAGCUUUAAUUUUUUGGAAUCUCAACACUGUUGUUCAUCUCCGUCGAGGUUAUUGAUUGCGUGGGAAUCGUGGAGUGAGGAUCACUUAGAAAUAUAGCUUUUAUUAGGGUCGUAUUUCAGUUUAAAUUUUACCUUAAGUUGUUUAAAUUUUAUAUGGAUACAGAUUACAUUUCAAUCUUUUCUUAUGUUGUAAGACCCUUUGUUGGAUUUAAAGUUAUUAAGUUAUUUCUUAGUCGUUCAGCCUUACAUUUAUUUUAUUAGAAAUAGAUGUGGCGGUAACACUUCCAUGAGUAGGUUUUGGCUCAUGUUUUUCUUAAAGGUGUUUCAAAAAUUCGACCUAUUCUGAGGGUGUUACAAAUUCAAAAAUAAAAUGAAAAGAAGUAGUUAACUUCCUACACUUUUAAGAACAUCUAGAGAAUGAAAUUGGGAUGCUAGAGUGAAAAAAAUAAUUAAAAAAAAAAAAAGAAAAAAGAGCAUUUUUUAGCAUGCUAAAACCUUAGAAUUAAUCUUCUAAUAUAGGAGUAGGAUUAGACCUUCCACUAACCCCAUGAUCCCCACUAUCCCAUGUCACUUAGUGGCAUGUUAGUGGGGUUGAUUGAGGUAAAAAUAAUCCUAACCGCUUAUCAAAUGAAGGAAACCCGCAAAAAGUGCGCCCAUAAACAAACCGACAUGACACG